rnacentral:rRNA from 1 species
GGAUUGUAGUCUGCAACCCGACUACAUGAAGCUGGAAUCGCUAGUAAUCGCGGAUCAGAAUGCCGCGGUGAAUACGUUCCCGGGUCUUGUACACACCGCCCGUCACACCAUGGGAGCCGGGAAUGCCCGAAGUCGGUGACCUAACCUUUAAGGGGGAGCCGCCGAAGGCAGGUCUGGUAACUGGGGUGAAGUCGUAACAAGGUAUC